AGAGUUUGAUCCUGGCUCAGAACGAACGCUGGCGGCGUGUUUAAGACAUGCAAGUCGCACGGAGAGAUUCGGUAUUUAUAUUGGAGAUCUCAGUGGCGCACGGGUGAGUAACACGUGAAUUACAUGCCCUUCAGAGGGGGAUAGCCCAGGGAAACUCGGAUUAAUACCCCAUGUGAUCGUAAGAUUAAAGGUGCCUUCGGGUGCCGCUUCUGGAUGGGCUCGCGGCCUAUCAGCUUGUUGGUGAGGUAAAAGCUCACCAAGGCAAUGACGGGUAGCUGGUCUGAGAGGAUGAUCAGUCACACUGGAACUGAGACACGGUCCAGACACCUACGGGUGGCAGCAGUCGAGAAUCAUUCGCAAUGGGGGAAACCCUGACGGUGCGACGCCGCGUGGAGGAUGACGGUCUUCGGAUUGUAAACUCCUGUCAUCGAAGAGUAAGGCUUAUAUAUUAAUAGUAUGUAAGAUUGAUAGUACCAGAAGAGGAAGGGACGGCUAACUUCGUGCCAGCAGCCGCGGUAAUACGAAGGUCCCAAGCGUUGUUCGGAAUCACUGGGCGUAAAGCGUGCGCAGGCGGCGCGGAAAGUCAGAUGUGAAAUCUCUAGGCUCAACCUGGAAACUGCAUCCGAUACUCCCGCGCUAGAGUAAUGGAGGGGUAGCUGGAAUUCUCGGUGUAGCAGUGAAAUGCGUAGAUAUCGAGAGGAACACUCGUGGCGAAGGCGAGCUACUGGACAUUUACUGACGCUCAGGCACGAAGGCCAGGGUAGCGAAAGGGAUUAGAUACCCCUGUAGUCCUGGCAGUAAACGGUGUGCGCUUGGUGUGGGAGGAUUCGACCCCUUCUGUGCCGGAGCUAACGCGUUAAGCGCACCGCCUGGGAAGUACGGCCGCAAGGCUAAAACUCAAAGAAAUUGACGGGGACCCGCACAAGCGGUGGAGUAUGUGGCUUAAUUCGAUGCAACGCGAAGAACCUUACCUAGGCUUGACAUGUAUUGCUAAGCACGUGAAAGCGUGUGACUCUUCGGAGACCUUACACAGGUGCUGCAUGGCCGUCGUCAGCUCGUGUCGUGAGAUGUUUGGUUAAGUCCAGCAACGAGCGCAACCCCUGUGGAUAGUUGCCAGCACGUAAUGGUGGGGACUCUAUCCAGACUGCCCAGGUCAACUGGGAGGAAGGUGGGGAUGACGUCAGGUCAGUAUGGCCCUUACGCCUAGGGCUGCACACGUACUACAAUGCCCAGUACAAUGAGAACCGAGACCGCGAGGUGGAGGAAAUCUGCAAAACUGGGCCCAGUUCGGAUUGGAGGCUGCAACUCGCCUCCAUGAAGUUGGAAUCGCUAGUAAUGGCACAUCAGCUACGGUGCCGUGAAUACGUUCCCGGGUCUUGUACACACCGCCCGUC
rnacentral:rRNA from 1 species